GCAAAAUGUAAAUCACCGCACGGACCGCAGAAGAUAAAUAAGCUCUUGUCUUCGGCCACCCACGCAGUACUUGAGUUCUGCUCUCCGCAGGCCAGAGCUGCCUUCCUCUCCUCGGCAGCGUGUGCUCCACAGAAGAUGUCGAUCUCUCUCAGGAAGCAGCGAGAUGAAACAACUCUCAAAGUGAAGGAGCUGAGGCAUUUCAGCAAGAGACACAGCACGUAGUUUGGGAGAGCGAAAAGGGGUAGGAGGCUGCUAUUUCCAGACCGUGCUGCCUCUCACCGCUAACUUCGUGCACCACCACAGGUGUCUCAAUAUCACAGCCCAACACCAGAGAUGCAGCUGGUUUUGUCCACGAAUUAAAACUCCGUCAUCUCAACUGAAUUUCCAAGCAUAGGAAGCUGCCCUAGCCCAACAUGGAGGAUAUGAGAACACUGUGUCCUACCACAGUAAGAAUGGGGAAGAUGGAGUGU